UACGGGGGGGAGCAAGCGUUGUUCGGAUUCAUUGGGCGUAAAGGGUGCGUAGGCGGCGCGUAAGUCGGAUGUGAAGGUCUCGGAAGCUUAACGUCCGUAAACUCGAAUUCGAUAUCGUGCCGUGCCUUGAGGACUUGGAGGAGGUGAGAGCAGAAGUUACUCAUGGUGUAGCAGUGAAAUGCGUAGAUAUCUGGAGAAUACCGGUGGCGAAGGCGGCAUCCUGGACCGAGAUUGACACUGAUGAGCGAAAGCUAGGGGAGCAAACGGG
rnacentral:rRNA from 1 species